rnacentral:lncRNA from 1 species
AAAUUAUGUAUGAAUUUAAAAAAUUUUAAAUGCAAAUAUAUUAUACAUUUCGUCAAAAAAAAAAAAUCAUUAAACUAGCAUACUGAAAAAAUAAAACGUAUGGAAAAAAAUUUAUUGAUCCUAACAAAUAUUAUUAAAUCCUAUCAGAUUUUAUGAAUAGAUAUUUUUGAAAAAAAAAUUUAAAAAAAUGUGUAUGAAAAAAAAAAUCACACUUUGUUUAUUUUUUUAAUAGGUGAGUCGUCUCCAACGGCUGCAGUUGGUACUACAGCUAAUUUAGCUACAGUACCAACUGCUGUAGUUGGACCUUCUCGUGUAGAUACAACUGUCGCAGUUGGACCUAACUAUAUCAAACAAAACAAAAAUUUAAUAAAUACAUGCAUUUUCAACUGCAGUGCAUUUAGAAAUAUAUGCAACCAAACAGUCCCUAAAAGGAACACAAAAUAAAUUGCCUUUUCUA